GAUGAACGCUGGCGGCGUGCCUAAUACAUGCAAGUAGAACGCUGAAGGAAGGAGCUUGCUCUUUCCGGAUGAGUUGCGAACGGGUGAGUAACGCGUAGGUAACCUGCCUGGUAGCGGGGGAUAACUAUUGGAAACGAUAGCUAAUACCGCAUAACAGUAGAUGUUGCAUGAUAUCUACUUAAAAGGUGCAAUUGCACCACUACCAGAUGGACCUGCGUUGUAUUAGCUAGUUGGUGAGGUAACGGCUCACCAAGGCGACGAUACAUAGCCGACCUGAGAGGGUGAUCGGCCACACUGGGACUGAGACACGGCCCAGACUCCUACGGGAGGCAGCAGUAGGGAAUCUUCGGCAAUGGACGGAAGUCUGACCGAGCAACGCCGCGUGAGUGAAGAAGGUUUUCGGAUCGUAAAGCUCUGUUGUAAGAGAAGAACGAGUGUGAGAGUGGAAAGUUCACACUGUGACGGUAUCUUACUAGAAAGGGACGGCUAACUACGUG
rnacentral:rRNA from 1 species